CUAAUACAUGCAAGUCGAGCGGACCGACGGGAGCUUGCUCCCUUAGGUCAGCGGCGGACGGGUGAGUAACACGUGGGUAACCUGCCUGUAAGACUGGGAUAACUCCGGGAAACCGGGGCUAAUACCGGAUGCUUGAUUGAACCGCAUGGUUCCAAUCAUAAAAGGUGGCUUUCAGCUACCACUUACUGAUGGACCCGCGGCGCAUUAGCUAGUUGGUGAGGUAACGGCUCACCAAGGCGACGAUGCGUAGCCGACCUGAGAGGGUGAUCGGCCACACUGGGACUGAGACACGGCCCAGACUCCUACGGGAGGCAGCAGUAGGGAAUCUUCCGCAAUGGACGAAAGUCUGACGGAGCAACGCCGCGUGAGUGAUGAAGGUUUUCGGAUCGUAAAACUCUGUUGUUAGGGAAGAACAAGUACCGUUCGAAUAGGGCGGCACCUUGACGGUACCUAACCAGAAAGCCACGGCUAACUACGUGCCAGCAGCCGCGGUAAUACGUAGGUGGCAAGCGUUGUCCGGAAUUAUUGGGCGUAAAGCGCGCGCAGGCGGUUUCUUAAGUCUGAUGUGAAAGCCCCCGGCUCAACCGGGGAGGGUCAUUGGAAACUGGGGAACUUGAGUGCAGAAGAGGAGAGUGGAAUUCCACGUGUAGCGGUGAAAUGCGUAGAGAUGUGGAGGAACACCAGUGGCGAAGGCGACU
rnacentral:rRNA from 1 species